AACGAACGCUGGCGGCAGGCUUAACACAUGCAAGUCGAGCGCCCCGCAAGGGGAGCGGCAGACGGGUGAGUAACGCGUGGGAAUCUACCCAUCUCUACGGAAUAACGCAUGGAAACGUGUGCUAAUACCGUAUACGUCCUUCGGGAGAAAGAUUUAUCGGAGAUGGAUGAGCCCGCGUUGGAGUAGCUAGUUGGUGGGGUAAAGGCCUACCAAGGCGACGAUCAUAGCUGGUCUGAGAGGAUGAUCAGCCACACUGGGACUGAGACACGGCCCAGACUCCUACGGGAGGCAGCAGUGGGGAAUAUUGGACAAUGGGCGCAAGCUUGAUCCAGCCAUGCCGCGUGAGUGAUGAAGGCCCUAGGGUUGUAAAGCUCUUUCACCGGUGAAGAUAAUGACGGUAACCGGAGAAGAAGCCCCGGCUAACUUCGUGCCAGCCGCCGCCGUAACAC
rnacentral:rRNA from 1 species